UUCUUUCGACUGCAGUUUGUGGGUAUCUGAGCCGGAAACCCUCACGAGACAAAACUCGUCCACUAGGGCCACCUAGGGGUUUAAAGCCUUAUUGCAUACGGUAAAUGCAAUCGCGAUUCCUGCGAAAGUGAGUUAGUUUUUUUUAUUUUUUAUUAUUAUUAUUUAUUUUAUUUUGCUCGAGGACUAGCAAAAUGUAGGUUGGGGGGUGUGAUAAGUGCUAAAUAAUGCAUAAAUUAAUAUCUUAUUCAUAGCACUUAUCAUUAUUUUAAUUCACAUAAUUUGUAAAUGCAACCAAAAAAAAUGUAUUACCUUCAUGAUUGCAUUUUAAUAAAUUAUCCAAGGUAAUUCAAGUUUGAUUUGAUUAUUUAUUAAUUAAGCUUAAUGCAUGCAGGUCGAGUCGAGCUCAAUUAGGUAAAGCCUAUGGACACUGCAGCAUCCUCCAGAGUCGACUCCAAGAACUCUCCUCCAAAACCCAGUGCUUUCCAUUAAUUCCCGUUUCUUCACAAUUUCACCUACUUCUCUUCCCACACUUUUCAAUCAUUUAUUUUUCAGAUCUCAAAGUAUAUCAUCUAUUCAUCUAUAGUUGCACAGAUCUCAGAGAAUUCUAGUCAUUGGCCUUUUCCCAGCCAAAUAGGAUUAAUUUCCCUGUUUCAAACGGUUCAAAUCCCACGUCCUUCCCAACUUCACCAAAUCCAGCGUCUUCAACCAACCCAUCCUCAUCCUCCCC
rnacentral:lncRNA from 1 species